rnacentral:lncRNA from 1 species
AUGGUUAGAGUGUGAGCAGACAGCAAAACUGGCUGUGACAAAAACUUGCUGGUCUCCUCCAGCCUAUGAGAUGUGAGCGACUCCCGUCAUAAAAGAAAGACAUUUUGGAAGGGAAAGACAAUGGCAUCUACAAUGUGUCCCUGUGUCUGAAAGACAUUAAUUACUUGGCGGAGGAUCAGGCUGCUCGUCUUCUCCUGGGCAGGAUGAGAAUGGUGCUGGAUCUCCUCUGCUUUCACCAACACUGCAUGAGGAGGACCAAGGCAAGAACUGAAGAACACCUCUCUGUCCGCCUUACACAGUCUGUGACAAAAGAAUCCCGCCACUGUUAUAUCAUUGGAAUAUCUUUUGAAGAAAGAUGAGACAAGCAACAAGUUAUGGCUAAUUCUUCUAGCUUAAACUCAGGGAUAAACACUGACUUUGGUUGUAAUCCAUGAAACUGAAGGAUUUUCUCAUGCUUUUUGCAGAUGUUUAACUGGUGUAAGGUAACAUAUAUUUUCCAGAAAUAAAAAUGUAGCCGAGAUUCCA